UGGUAGUGUAUUGGACUACCACGGCAGUCACGGGUAACGGAGAAUUAGGGUUCGGUUCCGGAGAGGGAGCCUGAGAAACGGCUACCACAUCUAAGGAAGGCAGCAGGCGCGUAAAUUACCCAAUCCUGAUUCAGGGAGGUAGUGACAAGAAAUAACAACCUGGGGGCUUUUAGCCUUACGGGAUUGCAAUGAAAACAGUUCAAAUCACUUAACGAGGAACAAUUGGAGGGCAAGUCUGGUGCCAGCAGCCGCGGUAAUUCCAGCCCCAAUAGCGUAUAUUAAAGUUGUUGCAGUUAAAAAGCUCGUAGUUGAACUUCUGUCAGUCUUUGGUUUUGGCUUCGGUCGAGCCAAGGAUUGUCAUCCGUCUGUAAACCAUUUUCGGCCUUAACUGGUCGGCUUGGGGAGCAGACAUUUUACUUUGAAAAAAUUAGAGUGUUUCAGGCAGGCAUUUGCCCGAAUACAUUACCAUGGAAUAAAGGAAUAGGACUUAGUCCAUUUGAUUGGUUAUUGGAUUGAGUAAUGAUUAAUACGGACAGUCGGAGACAUCUGGAUUUAAUAGUCAGAG
rnacentral:rRNA from 1 species